UAGAUCAUCACUUCUACAUUUUAUUGUGUAAAGUAAGUCAUAAGAUUAACCCAAGACUCAAGGAGUAGGCGUGAUGGUUCAUUUUCUAAGUCAGCUUGACUGGACUAAAGAAUGCCCAGAAAGCUGGCAGAACUUAAAUUCUGAGCGUGUCUGUAAGGAUGUCUCCAGAAAAGAUUAGCAUUUGGAUCAGUAAACUGAAUGAAGAUCAUUCUCACCAACUGGGCAUCAUCCAAUCCCUGGAGGGCCUGGCUAGAACAAAAACGAAGGAUGAAUUUACUCUGACUGUUUGAGCUGAGAGAUCCAACUUUUCCUGCCCCAAGACAUUGGCAUUCCUGGUUCUUGGAUGUUCAAACUUAGAUAGGGAUUUACACCAUCAGCCUCCUGAUUCUCAGGCCUUCAGACUUGGACUAAAUUACACCACUGGCUUUCCUGGUUCUCCAGCUUGCGGAUGGUGGACCCUGGGACUUCUUGAUCUCUGUAGCAUACCGACAGAAGGGGAUAAACUGAUUAAGGAGAUGAAGAAGAAAUGAAUGACGAGGUAAGUAGAAACCCAGGAGAGCAUAAUGCCACAGAAUGCUGCUGAGACACAUUGACGAUGAGGCUUGAAAAGCAACCACUUCAUUUAAAGGCAAGGAGUCGCUGAUGUCAUGGAUAAUCUUGGUUGUGAGUCAUUUUGGAGGAGAGGAUGAAGCCAGAUUGCAGCAGCAGAGGAUUAAGUGGCAGAGGAUUAUGAGAAAAUAAGUGUUCCCUGAAUUUCUGUAUUCCUGAAAAAUCCUAGUGUCUUGAACAUGGAUACUGGUCUACUGUGAAGAUGAGAAGUUUUGCUUUUAUGUCCUCCAGGAAUAUUUGUUCUUUACAGCCUUGAUUGCCAAGCCUUUUGCUGCCAUUAAUAGGCAUUAGGUAUUAGCCUUUCUCAAAUUACAUUCAGGACCAAAAGCCUAUCAUAACUUUUGCCAAGAACAGAAAGAUUCAAGGGUUGCUUGUGAAAUGGCAGCUGCCUUCCUCCAAAGCAAAUGAUGAGAGGGAGGGGGCAAGGGGAAGGAAUGCCACCGGCAGAAGCUACAUGGUCUUUGAUAACCUCUUCUAAGAAGCAGCGCAGCACCAUUUAUUCAAGAGAUCUCGAAGACUACCCCUGGUACAAGGCGGGUGACAGAGUGGUGAAUACCAGGAGAAAUUAUUUCUAGACAUAUGUAACCUUGAUGUCUGCUGACCGACUGGGAAAAAGGCACCAAUAAUUUCAAAGAGUAUCUCUGGUGCCAGGAUAAACUAGGAGCAUUCUGAUCCUAACAGUUGAUCAAAGACUGAAUAGCACUGACUUCCACAGCAUACCAGAAGCCCACAAUAAGAAGAAAAGCAACCAGAUAUGACCUUCAAGUCUGACUCCUUAAAUUAAGAGGAAGACUUUCAGCAGCAGAGCAAAUUACAACUUCACUCCAUUCAUCUACCCAAUUAACCCUGCAUAUUACAGAGGGGUACGUAUGUGCAAAAGGAACCACUGCAUGUAAAUAGAGGUAAGAAGACUCUGAUGUAAAUUUGGGAUGGCUUUAAUUAUAUAGGUUUUUUCCAAAAAUUUAUUCUUAUGAGCAGGGCUUAAGACAUCAUGACUCUGGCAUGAAUCACAAGAUCAACAAAACCUUCCAAGAUUCUGCAAAUCUGGUACCUCUGUCUCCUUGACAUUCUCCUGUUACACUUGAGACUGGCUGUUUAGCUCGAGGGGGAGGCUGAAUGGGCAGCCUGAAGUUGUAAAUGUUUGUUAAUAUCUGUUGAGGGUAUUCUGGAGAAGCAGAUGGCUCAGAACAAAUAAAAAGAUUGCUAAGCCGUGUUGGAAGUUCACCUGAGCUUAGCGGUCACAGAUUUAUAGCGGCUAUUGCAUGCCAGAGCACUUAAGUUUGUUUUCACAUUUAAUCCUCAUGACAUCUGUAUAUGUAAAUAUAUUGUGGUAAUCAUUUUAUAAUGUAUUUACCUUAAUAAUUAUGCUGUACACCUUAAAUUUAAACAGUACCGUAUGUCAAUAAUACCUCAACAGAACUGGAAGAAAAGAGAAAAAAAGAAAAGAGGUUGGAUGAUAGUGAACAAAAAUUAGUAAAUGCCCACUGAAGAUAAAAUAGCAGACUUAAUGUGAAUCUAUAUUUGUCAGUCAUAAAACCUUAUGUUGUAUCUUCUUUACUAAGUUGCCUCCCAGUAGGAAUAGAGAAGGUACAUUGUCAUUUGUGAGGUUAGAGCACAAGUGAAACAGAAGAGUAAGAAUGUGAGAGCAGGAGUUCCUGUCGUGGCACAGGGGAAACAAAUCUGACUAGGAACCAUGAGGUUGCAGGUUUGAUCCCUGGCUGAGCUCAGUGGGUUA